CGUUUCAUGGCCGUACUGGUCAAGGCAUUGCCGAUUAUAGCCGAAGACGCGGGUUCGAGUCCCGCUGGAACUC
rnacentral:tRNA from 1 species